CUAAGAUCGGCCAGUGAGAUUUUAUUAAGAAAAGAGAAUCCAGCCUUCCCACAAAUUUACCGCUGGGUUGAUAGACAACAAAAGCAAUCGGCUCCCAUUUUUCUCCAGCUCUGUUGUGGGAGAGGCUUUUACACUCUUAAAGAGAGGUUGGUCAUCAUUUGCUCACUUGAGUGUUGUAAGUUGACAUGAAAAGGGCAGGUCACAUGAUGAAGAGAAAGGCGCUCAGAAUGGACAGAUGCCUUACAGAUGGUCACAGGGCUCGUUUUCUGCUUCGUGCAGGAUUGAUUCCAAGGUUGGAACUAAGAUCAGAUCCAGCAAUGAGAUUACAUCUGACCUGUGGUUUUACCUUUCGGCACAGUGGCUGCACCCUAAUCGACUGCUAUUUUAGCCAGCAAUUGCAACUUCCCAGUUCUCUAGCGGCAGCCUGGCCACUCAGGCCGCUGUUCCCACAGGCACUGGCUCUGUCGCUGCCACUGAAGGUAGCUUUAACUAAAUCUCCCUCAUUCUAUUUAUAAAUAAGACUCAAAAUUCAAGGACUGGGGUGAAAACCUGCGAGCUCAGGGAGGCUGAGUUGCAAAUCGCUAACUGUCUCCCCUUGCUGGUGUCUCUGAAAGACCUGUGCUUCCACUCUGCCAAACCAGAAAAGGCUUGGCCACUCCAAACCCCUUCCUCCUACUUCCUGUGUCUCUCCGUCUCUCCCGGAUGCCCUCUGAGGCUCUAUGAUUACUUUCUGUCAACUAAUUGCUAACUCAGCCUCCUGACUCAAGGUCAAUUUUAUUUAAUCAACACAAAUGCAAACUUGGGACUCACAAUGUGAUCGAAUAUCCCCCAACACUGACCAGCAGAGAGGGGGUGUAUGGCAGGAUGACUGGGAUACCUCCUCUACCAGUCUGUUGAAGGCUCAGGGAUGAGGUGUAGACUGCUCCCAUGCUCCCCAGCUCCCCAGCUCCCACUUGUCACUGACAUGGGGCCCCUAAGUGACGUGGCACUCAGGUCUUACAAGCAGGGAGAUGGGGCACAGAGGGGACCACAGGACUUCAAUGACAUGGUCUGAGAUGCCACAGACAGUGCCCCAAAUCACAGAAAGUGCUUGGCCGUCUGUUGGGGUGGGAGACAGGUGGUGAUGCUUGGGCUGUUUUUGUUCCUGCAGCUUUUCUGUUACCAAUAAGCUAAUGAGACUUGUGGAAGCUGAGUCACUCGGAGCUACGGUCUGAAUGUUGUGUUCCAUCGGUGUUUCUGUGUUGAAAUGUUGAAGCCUAACCUUCAGAUAGUAAUGGUAUUAGCAAAUAAAAUCUCUGGGGGAUGAUUAGGUCAUGAGAACCCACCCUCACCAGGAAUCAGGACAUUUCUGAGAACUUGGCUUCUUUGCCCUACGAGGACUAAGCCAGAAAGCACAAGAGAGCAAGCCCUUAUCGGGUGUAGAACUUCCUGACCUCUUGAUCUUGCAUUCCCCAGCCUCCAAAGCUUUACAUCAUCAAUUCCUGUUGUUUAUACAGUGCCCAGACUAAGAUAUUUUGUUAUAGCAGCAGGAACAGACAAGAUACAAGGCAAUAAGCAGAAAAACCCAGGUCUGCAUGAAUGUCAAAUGUCAUCCUGGCUCUUGGCAGUGUGGUCUACCUGCUGUUGCUUAGACUGUACAGUCAGGUCUGCCAUGCUGUCUGAAGCAGAGAUGGAUGGUGAGUGAAGGAGGGAGAGAGAUAGCCCAACACUCCUGUAAAAUGCCCACUGGGAAAAUAAGCAACCAUGGACCUAAGAGAGCCCCAAAGGAACAAAUGCCCCCCAAACACAUUGUCAGAAUGACAACCAACAGGCCCCUGUAAUGAGUAUUGGCCUUGAUUCAGCUUCAUGGCUGUCUAGUGGCAACCCAGGCCAGGAUGUCUGUUCUAGUUGCUUCCAGGGAAGCUUGCCAGGCCCCCAACAUGGGAUACUCAGCAAAUACUUGUUCGCUGAUUAUCUAAUUUUAAAUUCUCACGCAUUUACUUUUUUUUUUCCCAAGGAAAUUUGGCAAAGGAAACCAAAGAACUAUUCCUGGCUUCUCUUUGGGUUACACUUUCUUCUGUUCAAUUUUGAGCCAAUACAGUAAGAAUGUAAAAUUCCAUAUGGGGUAGCUUUAGCGACUCCGUGUGGGAUGAACUUCCUUGCCUCUGGCAUUUGAGUUCUGUGGCAGACACGGGAGAAGGGGAUGCUACUGGAAGGUUCCAUUUCUAGACCCCUUACCCUCGAGCCCUAUUGGCUCAUUGCUUCACCCUCCAUGUCUUCUCUUCCUUCUCUGGGGUCUGACCAUCUGGAACUGGAGUUACAGACAGUUAUGAGCCACCGUGGGGGUGCUAACAGUUGAAGCCAGGUCCUCUGGAAAAGCAGCCAGUGCUCUUAACCACUGAGCCAUCUCUCUAGUACCCCCGCAACACACACACACACACACACACACACACACACACACACACACACACACUUUUAUUUAGUUGCUAGAGUUUGGAUCUCAAAUGCCCCCCAAAGACUCACUUGUCAGCUUGCUCCUUAGCUGUUCGGGAAGGAAUGGGAACUUUAAACAGUGAGGCAUCAUGAGAGGUCUUUAGGUCACUGGGAGUGUGCCCUGGACGGCAGGGGAUAGAUCAUGGGAUGGCAGACACUUCCUCUCUCUCUCUCACUUCCUGGUUAGUGGUUUGCUCACUCCUGUUGUGCCUUGCUCCCUCCACAAAGCAAUGGGACCUUAAUCACGGAUUUGAACCUCUGAACGGUGAACCAAAAUGAACUGUUUCUCUGCGCAAGUGCAUUAUCUCAGGACACACUCACAUGUGUGAGUCCCCUGCUGUUGUUAGCACGACUGACACUUUUUAGGACCUACCUCACAGAUCUUGGCUUUUAUUUCAAUCAUGUGUAGCAUAAAUUUUUAGGUUUCAGUCUCUGCUGGAGUUCUUCCAUUUAUGUUAUUUUAAAUCUCUUCUAGUCGUAUCUUGUUUUUUUUUUUUUUAAAGUAUACUCUGAGCACUCUUUAAUUAGAAUUCUAACUUUUCUGUUAACUUCCUAUGCACAAAAUGUCUGAUGUUUCAGUUUUUCAAUUUGAAGUCUUUAAUUUCUCCCAUUUUUCAGCCUCGUGUAUUUGAAUUAUUUUACCUUUAUACUGAAAUGUUAAAUGAAGUUUUUGGUGGUUUGUUUGCUUUGCCCAUCUUAACCUUUGCAGCUUCUUUCAGUGUUGGACUAAAAUUCUCUGAAUUACCAUCCAGUUCACCUUAGAUCUCUUUGUCUUUCCAAUGGGGGUGGAGAGAAUGAUUCCGGAAGCCCCAAUAUGAGAAGGCUCAACCCCAGCCGGACUAGAGGUCCCCUUCUCUCCAGCUGCCCCUGCGGACACCUUUGGUCCUCUCCUGGAGAAGCCAUCUCAGAUGUGUCUUACAGUGUCUAAUGCCUCACGUUUUUAGAGCCCUGAGGCAUCUGCUCUCCAGAUCCUUGGGGGGUUAACUUCAGUGGAGCAAGUUGGUCAUGUGAACCCAAGAGCUUUGGAAAAAUCUUCAUUAGAAGAUCUGACUGGGCUGGGGAGUGCCUGGAUCCUGAUCGUACCGAGGUUCCUCAUGGUCCCCACCUCACUCUACCCAGGGUUGCUGAAAGAGUUUCUAGACUGGUUUAAAAGAACCUGGAAGUUUCUAGCCCCUGUUCUUCCCCGUUCUCUACCGACUCACCCUACCAGCCAGAAGCUACUCCUUCAAAGUACCCGAGCUCACUCCAGCUCCGAAGAUUGGAAGCAGGAAGGAUGUGAGACCCACAGACCAGAGGUUAAGUUCGGCUCUGGAGCUCAGAGUUUGGGAGCCAACUUGCAGUCCUAAGUGCGGUUCUAUGGUAUCAGUCUUACCGGGAACAGUAAAUAAACCACAGAAGACAAGUGCUAUUUAUUGGACCCCUUCAAAACUUCAACAAAUUGGUUGACUUUCAUAGUUGAACAUAACGGUUACACAAAGAAGAAAUGUAAUAAAACACAAUCAGUGUCAGUGAGGGGAUACGCUCCUUGUAUGGCAAGCUCUUCGUGGGCUCUGGGGAUGGGAAAUGACCCGGGCAUGCAGGAUUGGACUUUUGGGGAACUGAUGAACAAGCAGUAACCCAAGCAGGACUGCCCCUCUUGCAGCCCUGCUCCUCAGCAGCUCAGUCCCGAGAUGCUGCUGGGAGAAGCAUCUGCUUCGUCUCCUCCUUGCAGCGACUCUUGGUUGCUAAGCAGAUCCCUUGGGUAACUAUGUGGGCAUAAAACCUUUGCAGAACUGCCAGAUAUCUGCUUCACCCAAUUGUCAGAGUGAAAAAAUGAAAUCAUUCCUCUCACCUGUCACUACUUGGCACAAAGCUUCCAUUAUUGAAUGGUGAUGGCCCAGAAUGUAUUCUCACCUACUUGCGGGAAUAUAAAUGAGUUUUGCAUAUUCUACCUCCAAGAGAGUGGGAAGGGAGAGAGGAGGUGUUGGGAUCUCUGGAGUUGAUACGCUGGGGAGUCAGUGGUUGAGGAGAAGUGGGUAGAACCGACCAGCUCGCUCUCCACCGUUGGCAAAUGGGUGCCUGGAACAAGCGAAGACUUCCCUGCUUUCGGAUAAGCGCUCCUUAAGCUCAGCGGAGCCUGGGGACCCCUCUGACACGCGGCUAUUGAAUUGGUGUCUUUGGGGGUGAGGCCAAGGCACUCUGCUUUCUGAAGAGAUUUCUUAGAUGAAUCUUGUAAGCACUGUUGAGGUUUGAAAACCACUAACACAUGUGUACACGGAUCGAUGCAACAAGACAUUACAGGUAUUCAAAUAAAUGUCAUGAAGGAGUGAGAUGCUAUCGGCGGAGUGUUAAUUUUGACAGAGUAUGGCUCCUCUGAGCCUUGGACGAAUCUCUUUAGAAAGCAGAGUGAUUUGGCCUCACCCUGGAGAUACUGAUUCAGUAGCUCAGCAUCAGAGGAGUCCCUAGGCACCACUGAACCUAAGGAAGACUUAUCUGAAAACAGUGAAGUCUUCACUUGUUCCAUCAGAUGGGACAGAUUCAUCUCUGGGUAGGGAAGGAGGGAAGGAGGGACAGAAGCACUCACAGCUCAGAGGGAUAGUAAACUGGCCCGAUAGGCCAGGAAUAAAAGAUGAGGAGCAGAACUUAAGUGGAGAGUGAGAGCACAGGAGAGGAUCUGGGUGGAAAGUAGUGUCGGACGUGGACUGUGGUUAGGAAGAGAGAGCUAUGACCAGAUAGGCAUUCAAGAAAGGUAGCUGUGGUCUGUGUGGUGGUGCAUGCCUGUAAUCCCAGCACUUGGGAGGUAGAGGCAGGAGGAUCAGGAGUUUAAGGCUAGCCUCGGCUACAUAGUGAGUUCUGGACCUGCCUGGGCUUGAGAGAUGCCACCUCAAAGAAAAACCAAACAAACAAAAACAAGAACAAACAACAACAACAAAAAAAAACCCAGAAACUAACAGGAAAAACAAAAGAGAGAAAGAUGAUGAAGGGUAAUGCAGAAGGUGGGCUGGAAGAAGACAGGAAGAGUCCACUCUUCUUCCAGCUCCAGAGAGGCCCAGGCUGGGGAGGGGGUCAGAAGCCACGAGCUCUUUCUUGGUCUUAUCCUCGCUGCCUCUGGUACACAAUAUUGAACUUGUAUGCCACGACAUUGUUCAAAUAGUGUGCCUGUUCAUUUUCUUUUUUUUUUUAAUCAAGGUAUAUGGAACUUUCGAUGUAGCACCAAAUAUGUGGAUGAUAUUUAUUUUAAAGAAUUUUAAAACAGCAUUUAAAUUAAUCUCACAAAAUAAACUUCAGUUCUCAGGGAAGUUAACGAACUUGCUGCUUUUCAAAGAGGGAUGUGAAGGAACUGAGAGUUACAUGCAACUAAGACAUUUUAAAAGGUAGCGUGGACUGGGGAUGUACCUCAGUUGGGAUAGUGUUUGCCUGCCAGGCACAAAGCCCCCGCUGUUGUGGAAUAUUAUUUUAAAAUGUGUUACCUUUUUUUAUGCUCUGGGAUAUUUGUUUAAUAAUGUAAAGGUGUGUUGUAUUCCUUUAUGUUGCAUUUUUUUAACUCUGUAAAGCUGUGUUACUUUGCCUGUCUAAAACAUCUGAUUGGUCUAAUAAAGAGCUGAACAGCCAAUAGCAAGGCAGGAGAAAGGGUAGGCAGGGCUGGCAAGCAGAGGAGAAAGGAGCAAGAGAGAUCAAGAAGCAAGAAAAAAAGAGGUCAGCCACCUAGCCACACAGUCAGACAUGGAAUAAGAAGGAAAGAAAAGCAUACAGAAAUAGAGAAAGGUAAAAGCCAGGAGGCAAAAGGUAGGCACGAUCAUUUAAGUUACGAAAAGCUGGCUAGAAACAAGCCAAGCUAAGGCCAGGCAUUCUGGCUGAUUUAUUUGGGAACUGGGUGGUGGGCCCCCAAAAGAGUAAAAGAGCAAAGAGUGAAAAAACAACCAACUACACCCAGCAUUACCUAAACCAAGUGUGGUAGCAAACAACCGCUGGCCCAAAACUGGGGAUAUGGAGGCAGGAAGAUCAGAAAUUCAAGGUCAUCCUUCGUUACACACCAAG